UACAGAGGUCUCAAGCGUUGUUCGGAUUCAUUGGGCGUAAAGGGUGUGUAGGCGGCCCUGCAAGUCGGAUGUGAAAUCCCACGGCUCAACCGUGGAAGUGCAUUCGAAACUGCAGGGCUAGAGUCCUGGAGAGGAAGGUGGAAUGCUUGGUGUAGAGGUGAAAUUCGUAGAUAUCAAGCGGAACACCGGUGGCGAAGGCGGCCUUCUGGACAGUGACUGACGCUGAGACGCGAAAGCGUGGGGGAGCAAACAGG
rnacentral:rRNA from 1 species